rnacentral:rRNA from 1 species
UUUGGUAGCUAUAGCAAUGGUGUUCACCUCUUCCCAUUCCGAACAGAGAAGUUAAGCCCAUUAGCGCAGAUGGUACUGCCAUUAGGUGGGAGAGUAUGUCGCUGCCAACU